rnacentral:lncRNA from 1 species
CGCCCGCGCAUGCGCUGUCCAGGGCCGACGCGGUUGUAUCAUGCUGAGAAGGAGCCGGGCGGGGGCCGGCGGGGCUGCGAGGGCCCUGUGAGGAGGGGCACCUGCCACUAGAAGCGGCCUCUGGGACGUCGCGCUGAGCCCUGCUUUGGAGUCAGAGGGGCUUUCCGCCUCGGUGAACUCGAGAGUAGCAACUCUCCUCCGGGUAACCGGAGUGCCACAGCGGGCAGGCGUCAUAAGGACAGGCCUCGGAGAGGAGAGGGGCUACCCGAGAAUGGCCUCAAAAGAUUGUCUGCCGUGGUGGCUUCUCACACAAGCCUGUACUUUCCUGUGGGAGAAUAUUUCCUAGGAGCCUAUAUUCCAGUUCAUCUCUGACGUCAUAAAUCAUGACUGUGUAGAAAGGCCAUAACAUGUGACACAUGGCAGCCAUUUUGGAGAUGGCCAGAUGAGAGGACAAUCAAUCCACAUGCCUAAAUGGAACCAACAGACAUGUGCCAGCUUGCUUCUCCAGCCUAUGUUCUCAGACACUUGUAGAAGACCAGAGGGAAAAUGGAAUCAGAAAAAACAGCAACAACAACAAAAAGCCAUCCAGGGCCAUGCACAGUGGCUCACUCCUGUAAUCCCAACAGUUUGGGAGGCCAAGGCAGGUGGAUUGCUUGAGCUCAGCAGUUUAAGACCAGCCUGGGCAACAUGGCGAAACCCUUUCUCUACUAAAUACAAAAACUAGCUGGGUGUGGUGGCAUGCACCUGUAGUCCCAGCUACUCGGGAGGCUGAGGUGGGAGGAUCACCUGAGCCUGGGAGGUUGAAGCUGCAGUGAGCUGUGAUGGUGCCACUGCACUCCCACCUGGGUGACAGAGCAAGACCCUGUCUCAAAAAAACAAAACUAAACAAAAAAAUCCAUGUGGGAAAAGGCCCAAUCAGAGCCAACUCACUGCUGGGAUUAGUAGAAAUGAUUAGUCACCAGAAGGCAAAUCGUGGAAGAAUGAAGAGAUGACAGGACCUCAGGAACUACACCCAGAGGUGUAGUUGUGCCGUAGGCAAAGCAUCAUGCCGGUCAUCCCCAAGAAAGGGAGAAGGGGUAGAGCUCAGACUCUUCCCUGCUUCCCCAUAAGUCCAGUUUACCCUGGGCUGAUCCUUUCAGCAUGGCAGCCUCCGUGGGGAGGCACGAGAUCCAAAGAUGAAGAUGUCUAUGGGGGUGAAGAAGAAUGGCAAACUUUGCAGGCAAGAGUAGGCAUUAGAGAGAUCAGAGGAGGAAGACAAUAGAGAAGGAUGACACAGGACAGGCUGUAUCUAGAGGAUAUAAUGCCAUGGACUUUGGACUAUUCCAGAGAGGCUGAGAGACCUGUCUCCUGCCUACAAGGCUCCUUGAACUCUGCACCCUUCUUUUUGCUAAAGUGCUGCUGAGGCCUGUCUCACUUCCCAAUGAAAAGCAACUCAGGAAAUUGGCUUCCUGCCCCACUCCUUCUUUGGGAGAGAGAAACAGAACUGAAGAGGAAGGAAGGAAGCCCAAAGAAACAGAGGCUUUCUUUCCUGGCUGAGAUUUGUUGGCACUGCCCACUAACAUAGAGAAUAAGGUGGUUCCCUAAGCGAGCCUUAAGCUGGCAUGAGGCUACAAACAAGUGAUUGUAUCUUCGUUCUGCUCAGCAGCCUACCUGGGCUGGCCUGGACAACCUCAAUUGUAUACUGAGGUCUUAAGCUGGCCAUGGCCCUUGGUAAAGCAGGAGAAAGGAAUAAGGCUGGAAGGUACAGAAUUUGCUUGAUGCCUUGCCUACAUAAUUCCUUUGCUGUUGCAACUGGCAACUCUUUGCUUGCAUUAUAUGAAAAAAAGGCGGUAAAAAAUUGUCAGAAAUGUUUGCCACCAGCCUAACCCCACUGCCCAUGCAUUGCUCCCAAGAAAGCUAAUUAAGGCCCAUUGCUAUUAGAGUUACAUGAUUCUGAAGGCUUGUUAUGACAAGAAAAAAUAAUGAAGACAUGGUUCCUCCAAGUCAUAAGCAUCCAAGUCAAAACAUACUGCAUCCCAGGCGAGUGUGGUGGCUCACGCCUGUAAUCCCAGCACUUCGGGAGGCCAAGGCAGCCGGAUCACGAGGUCAGGAGUUCGAGACCAGCCUUGCCAAGAUGAUGAAACCCCGUCUCUACUAAAAAUACAAAAAUUAGCCAGGCAUGGUGGCGGGCGCCUGUACUCCCAGCUACUCAGGAAGCUGAGGCAGGAGAAUCGCUUGAAACCGGGAGGCGGAGGUUGCAAUGAGCCGAGAUCACACCACUGCACUGUACCCUGGGCGUCAGAGCAAGACUCCAUCUCAAAAAAAAAAGAAAAAAACAUCCUGCAUCCCUUGUUCCUUUGUGUUCCCCUAGACAAGCCUCUGGGCUGGCUUUGCCUAUCUCAUGCAUGCAGGCAGUCAUCCUCCUUUGGCCAGUGCAUACCUGACUCCUACUCAGUGCCAGGCCUGGAGAAGACUGUGAGACCUGCCCUUGAGGAGUUCUGUUUGCAGGAAGAGAGUGAUAGGCACACAAAUUAUUUCCAAUAAACUACAGAAAAUGUCACCAGAAUCUCUAUUGUGAUCAUGUCCCCCACCCAUGUCUGUUUCAUAGAUUGGGGGAGAACAGGCCCGGGUGGAAAGUCAUGCACUUAUGCCCUCUCCUGACCAGCCCACAUGUCCUACCCCAGCCAACAGUGGUUCAGGCAUGACUCUGACUGCUCAUGGGAAAGAGCAGCUUGCUCA